GAUGAACGCUAGCGACAGGCCUAACACAUGCAAGUCGAGGGGCAGCGGGGAUGAAGCUUGCUUCAUCUGCCGGCGACCGGCGCACGGGUGAGUAACACGUAUGCAACCUGCCCGCCACAGGGGGAUAAACGCUGGAAACGGCGCCUAAUACCCCAUACUAUCGCUAUGCUGCAUGGCAUGGCGAUGAAAACUCCGGUGGUGGCGGAUGGGCAUGCGGCGCAUUAGCUAGUUGGAGGGGUAACGGCCCACCAAGGCGACGAUGCGUAGCCGGCCUGAGAGGGUGAACGGCCACAUUGGGACUGAGACACGGCCCAAACUCCUACGGGAGGCAGCAGUGGGGAAUAUUGCACAAUGGGGGGAAACCCUGAUGCAGCGACGCCGCGUGAGUGAAGAAGUAUUUCGGUAUGUAAAGCUCUAUCAGCAGGGAAGAAAAUGACGGUACCUGACUAAGAAGCCCCGGGCUAACUACGUGCCAGCAGCC
rnacentral:rRNA from 1 species